GAGCAUGUACCCAUUACACGUUGUUUCUGCAUGUUGCACGUUGUUCCUGCAUGUGUGGCUUGAACUGUUCAACGCCCGUUUUUUCUUUAACCCAUUUAGCGUCAGUUUCUCUUUUAAUCUGAGAUUUGCGGCUUCAAGCUCGGAUUGUUUUGUUUUUCAGUUGUACAUUCUACUAUAAAUAACAACACUAUGCUGAUCAAAGGAAUCGGCAGGUGAGCUAAGUUCUAAAGGAAUCUGUGUCAAUUUCUUUUCCUCUGUUCCAAAAAUCCUUUCCUCUGUUUUUCAUAAAUCUGCAGAAAAUUUCCAGAAAUUGCAGAGGCUCCUAAACAGUGCAGAAUCUUCAAAGCCUAAGAUCCACAGCUUCGCUUGCAACUUUGGAUUCUCAGAGGCUUGUUCUGCCAUUCGAGUGUUGUUGCAUGCUUGAUAGAGGCGAUUUUUCAGAAACUUUGAGAUCCCUCUCUCAGUUCCCUCCCUUUUUCGUCUGCGAUCUUCAAUUAGGGUUCUACCCUUUUCAGCUAUGGAGGAGUUAAAACUUUUUCUAUGAUCAAGGUCUCAAGGAUCGUUGUACCGUUCCCCUCAUCAUGGGCAAGAGAUCCUCAAGGCAAAGAGAUGGUUGGUUGAGCUCUCUCGACUUCCUCCUCCAUAGCUCAGACGAAAGCUCACUUCUUUAGCUCGUGCUUCAAGUUGUCUUCGUUUUUUGGGUUGCAUGUGCUUGAAUCUUUGUUCCUUUGUUGCGACUGUUGAAGCUGUAUUCCGAUGCUAUACUCGCAGCAGGCGGUGUAGGCAGCAGACAUAGAAAUUUCUCAACAAGCAAAGUUUUUUAGUUUCUUGGGCGUUAGGCUUUCUGUUCGAGUUAGACCUUGAACCUGGGUUUUUGCUUUGUUGUAGCUUGCUAGGCUUUUUAUCUCGAGCUUAAAAGGUUUUUUCUGUGUUGAGUUGUUUUUGGGCCUAGUGCCCUUUGGUUUUAAUGCAAUAUUAUCUUUUUUUUUUU